rnacentral:rRNA from 1 species
UACGUAGGGUGCAAGCGUUAUCCGGAAUUAUUGGGCGUAAAGAGCUCGUAGGCGGUUCGGUAAGUCGGGUGUGAAAACUUUGGGCUCAACCCAAAGCCUGCACUCGAUACUGCUGUGACUUGAGUCCGGUAGGGGAGUGGGGAAUUCCUGGUGUAGCGGUGGAAUGCGCAGAUAUCAGGAGGAACACCGGUGGCGAAGGCGCCACUCUGGGCCGGUACUGACGCUGAGGAGCGAAAGCGUGGGGAGCGAACAGG